GCGUGAGGGACGACGGCCUUCGGGUUGUAAACCUCUUUUAGCAGGAAAGAAGCGAAAGUGACGGUACCUGCAGAAAAAGCGCCGGCUAACUACGUGCCAGCAGCCGCGGUAAUACGUAGGGCGCAAGCGUUAUCCGGAAUUAUUGGGCGUAAAGAGCUCGUAGGCGGUCUGUCGCGUCUGCUGUGAAAACCCGAGGCUCAACCUCGGGCCUGCAGUGGGUACGGGCAGACUAGAGUGCGGUAGGGGAGAUUGGAAUUCCUGGUGUAGCGGUGGAAUGCGCAGAUAUCAGGAGGAACACCGAUGGCGAAGGCAGAUCUCUGGGCCGUAACUGACGCUGAGGAGCGAAAGGGUGGGGAGCAAACAGGCUUAGAUACCCUGGUAGUCCACCCCGUAAACGUUGGGAACUAGUUGUGGGGUCCAUUCCACGGAUUCCGUGACGCAGCUAACGCAUUAAGUUCCCCGCCUGGGGAGUACGGCCGCAAGGCUAAAACUCAAAGGAAUUGACGGGGACCCGCACAAGCGGCGGAGCAUGCGGAUUAAUUCGAUGCAACGCGAAGAACCUUACCAAGGCUUGACAUAUACGAGAACGGGCCAGAAAUGGUCAACUCUUUGGACACUCGUAAACAGGUGGUGCAUGGUUGUCGUCAGCUCGUGUCGUGAGAUGUUGGGUUAAGUCCCGCAACGAGCGCAACCCUCGUUCUAUGUUGCCAGCACGUAAUGGUGGGAACUCAUGGGAUACUGCCGGGGUCAACUCGGAGGAAGGUGGGGAUGACGUCAAAUCAUCAUGCCC
rnacentral:rRNA from 1 species